CAUGAAUUUUUAGUCAAUGACAAAUCAUAAUGAAACUUAAAAUCUUGAUGGAGCAUUUCAUGAAUAUCCCCAGCCUAUUAACUUUUCCAUCAAUUUUAUUGUCAUUUUAUAGGCUGGAAGUUGGACUUGUCUGGGACGUGUUUUCUCCCCCCUUUUUUGUGUGUGGGGGGCACAUUUACAACACUGAAGGAUGACGUGGGAGGACCAGGAUCGAGGCUUUAAAAUGAAUAAAUGUAAGCACGUCUAAUUAUUUCUUUCAAAUUUAUAACAACAUUCUUGCUGUUAACAAAUAUAAAUGUAACAUUUACUAGGAAAUAAGAGACUGUAGACGGAAAUAAACAAACCUAAGAUGUAGUUCAUCUAAGUAAACACUGAGGUUAUAAACCUUCCAACUCAAAUAUCAAGAGCCCUGCAAAUUAAUGCUCCACACAAUAGACCCUUUGGAAGCUAACUUAAUCCACCCCCCUGAAUCUACAUGAGGGCCAUGCAUAACAAUGCAGGAGCUGGAUUUCCAUUAAGAGUUUCCUCUGCAGGCUGUCAGCUGUUUGAAGAAAUAACAAUUUCCUAGGCAUGAAAGCUUUUUCAGAAGGUUCCCACUGAUGUGUAAUAAAAGUGACUUUCCUUUUUUCUUCUACUUCUUCCUUUUUUCCCCCUUCAGAUGUAACUUUGUAGGGAGAAAAGGGGUGGACUGAGGCCAUAGGCCCCCUACUAGUUUACCUUACGUGGAUUAUCAGUGCAGGUGUUAAUAUAAUUGAAGGUGUGGUAGCAGAUACAACCCCCUAAUAGCUUUUCCUAUAUGGAGAUUACCUAGGUAGAGAAUGCCAGAGUACCUGAAGAAUAGGCAAGUGAGUACCUUAUUAACAUAUCACCAUUCAGCGGCAGCUGCAUAUCUGGAAGAAGAAGAAGAAGGAAAAAAAAAACCUUUAAAGAGCCUAUUCAUCUAUGUUAAUGGGCCCAUUGCACAGCACAUUGUGUGAGAAAUUAAGUCUCUGGCUGUGAACUUCCUGUGCUGUGCAAGCUGCCUUGACUCUUUUUUAUUGCUUCAGUGUUAUUAUCUCCUCCUGGAAAUAAAAACAAUCAUGUUCUCACAUUUGAGAAGCCAAAACAUUCUGAGAUAACAAACUGGAGAUGCUAGUUGAAAGUUUCUUUUGUCUCCCUUAUUAAGUGAAAAAAUAUGUUUUGAAAUUAAAACAACCCCCAAAUUCACAUCAAAGCACAUCAAAUUAACUGAGCUGCCCUGUGAAUGACAAAGCUUUUUUCUCUCUUUUCUUAUAAAAUACACAAUUAAAUUGCUUUCC
rnacentral:lncRNA from 1 species